AUAGUACUGCAGGACCAUUCUGUUCUCAGGAUAUGAAUUUUUAGGUAUUUGUGGAAGCCCACUCACCCAAAAGGGAGUGGGCUUGUGUUUCAAAGUAUAGCCCUCUGGGCCUAUACUAAAGACAAAAAGACUCUCUUUCAAACCGUGACUGUCAAAUCUGGCUUACUGAUAUUUGCUUUGAAUUUGUAUGUUAUUUCUGAAAUACCGUCUCUCACAGGACACAGAAUAUGCUGCAAAGAAUUUGCUUCAUGCCAAGACAUAGUGCCUCCACGCAGAAACCCUGAGAAACAAAAGAAUGAGAACCUUGUCUCUGGGGUCAAUAAAUCUAAGCUUUGUUGGCACCAAAUGGGACACUCCAGUGAUUCUCAAGGAAGCCACCCCCUCUUGAGUGCAUUUCCAUAGCUCCAGGAUGAACAUAUUCAUGAAACUUGAGCCAAUGAAGGAAAGAUACCCAUGUGGAUUGGACCAAUAUGCAAACUUCAAACUGUGUCAUUAUAUUUUUAUUUUAUGAACCUCCUUGCUUAACAUCUCAUCCCACCCAGAUUAUAACCUGCACAAAAGCAAAGGGAAUUUGUUGUUCUCUCUUGUUCAUCCCUGCAUUCCUUAUACCUAGAACAGAGAUAAGCAAAUAUUAGGUAUUCUAUGAAUGUUUAUUGAACAAAUAAAUGAAUGCAAUGACUCAGCUCCUACCAUAUCUAUGCUAGAUGGAUAUGAACUAUAUUUGUCUUAUGUAUUGCUGUAUCCCAGCUGGUGCAUAGUAGAUGCUCAAUAAAUGUCUGAUGAAUGAAUAAGGAAAGGAGGAAGGGAGAGAGAGAAAGAGG
rnacentral:lncRNA from 10 species